AUGAGAUGAAGCAGAGAUAUUGGUGUGAAAUAAUGGAGUGAUAUGCUAGGUAGCUGUGGCAUGUAUGUUAGCAUCUAGCCUGGGAGGGCAAGGGAUGAGAUAAAAGCAUGGAAAAUGAAUAGAGGUUUUCCUUUUUUGAUGUUUCUGCUAUUGCAAGUCCAAUGUGGGAAAUGCCACCAGUAUCUUUAGGUGUUGCUGUUAUCUGCAGUUCUGCUACUGUAGCUCACAGUUGAGUUAUAGAGACAAGCAUUCAAGGCCAUCUAAUUAAUGCAGUGGAAACUUCUACUUCUCUACCAAGUGGAUCCAGCAGUUAUAGUGAUAUAGAAGAAAUGAAGCUUGAUACAUCUUUUAAUGACAUGGGAAUAAGAUGCCUUCAUUGCUGGAUAGCGGAAGAUAAAUAAUUUCCUUCCACCUGCUUACAGCAGUAGUGACUACUUCAAGAGGAAAGUAGCAGUUCAGUCACCUUAUCAGAAUCCCCCUCCAGGAAAACUAACAUUUGGAGGAGUAUUGCACCAGUUCAUACUCAGCAAGGUUGGAGUAAGGCUUGUAAUCCCUUUCUAUGAUCCCUCUGGGCUAUGUUCAUUCUGUGUAGCCAUUCUUGUGCUCAUCCAUGAAUUCAAACAUCAUAUUCUGCUCAUAUAAUCCUUUAGGCAAAGAGCUGUGGUUGGGAGCUAGUGAAGUUCCCUUGACAUAUCUUUUAAAAACCCAGCCUUUCUUACCUAACCUGAAGGCAACAUUCUUGUUCAAAUGCUCAUCACCUGGGUUUUAACAUCUCUAACUUUAUUGAUGUUGGGUAUGUUUAGGCAUGCCUAGAAUCUAGUUUAAGCUUUUGGCUGAAGAUCUAUGAGCAGUUGGUGAAGAGAUAGAGGAACUUGGGUCAAGAGAGAAAGGAUGGUGGCAGUGUGAAAGGGUUCCUUUCGUUUGAUCAUUCAUGAGCCAUGUUGAGACCAUGUCCUGCCCUUGUCUCUCUGUUUUUCUCUUGUUCCCAGGGUAGAUGUACUCACUUGUCUUUGGUCACUUAUGUUCUGUGGGAAAAGAACUGUCUUUUCACUCUGUUUCUACAGCAAGUAACACAAACGAAUCCCACUCUGGCACUGCAGCCUCAUGGCACUAGGUUAAGAUAAAUAAUAACAGUGAAUGAAGUGAGGGUAUAGGAUUGAGUACACAAAUACAUGUAAGAAACUUGGAAAGUCACUGACCUCAAUAUGCACUCAAGAAUGAAUCUAGGCUAUGAUUCCUAAUUUUCAAUUUGCUUUUAGUUCUUAUUUGGUUGUUAGAGAUUGUGUUGCUUUUUUCUACUCUAAGUAAGAGCUGUGGAACCUUUUUUUCUUUAAACUAAUUUGAUUAAAACAAACUCUGCUAAAUUAAAAAAGGACUUGUAAUUCAGUAUUACUACACUUAAAUACAAGUCUAUAUAUAUAUAUAUAUUCAGCUUCUACUGCUGCUUGUUCUAUCAUUUUUUUUAUAGGUUACUGUCCACAAUGGAUUCAGAGAUUGCAUUUGACUAAACAAAUGUUUAAUAAAUGUCUGCAGGAUGUUAAAAAGACCUUAAAAUUACUAUCUUUUAGUACAAGUUCAUGCAGAUUACUUUGUUCAACAAUUUUGUAACUGAUAAAGAUAAAUCUCUCUGCAUCCAU
rnacentral:lncRNA from 7 species